rnacentral:rRNA from 1 species
UACGGGGGGGGGCAAGCGUUUGUUCGGAAUUACUGGGCGUAAAGGGCUCGUAGGCGGCCAACUAAGUCAGACGUGAAAUCCCCUCGGCUUAACCGGGGAACUGCAUCUGAUACUGGAUGGCUUGAGUUCGGGAGAGGGAUGCGGAAUUCCAGGUGUAGCGGUGAAAUGCGUAGAUAUCUGGAGGAACACCGGUGGCGAAGGCGGCAUCCUGGACCGACACUGACGCUGAGGAGCGAAAGCCAGGGGAGCAAAGCGGG